AAAGGAUCCCUAGUACUGCGAGUGAAGCGGGAAAAGCUCAAAUUUAAAAUCUGGUGGUCUUUGGCCAUCCGAGUUGUAAUCUAGAGAAGUGUUAUCCGCGCUGGACCGUGUACAAGUCCCCUGGAAUGGGGCGUCAUAGAGGGUGAGAAUCCCGUCUUUGACACGGACUACCAGGGCUUUGUGAUGCACUCUCAAAGAGUCGAGUUGUUUGGGAAUGCAGCUCAAAAUGGGUGGUAAAUUCCAUCUAAAGCUAAAUAUUGGCGAGAGACCGAUAGCGAACAAGUACCGUGAGGGAAAGAUGAAAAGAACUUUGGAAAGAGAGUUAAACAGUACGUGAAAUUGUUGAAAGGGAAACGCUUGAAGUCAGUCGCGUCUGCCAGGGAUCAACCUUACUUUUGUGAGGCGUACUUCCUGGUUGAUGGGUCAGCAUCAGUUUUGGUUGCUGGAUAAAGGUCAGAGAAAUGUGGCACCUUCGGGUGUGUUAUAGUCUUUGAUCAGAUACAGUGGCUGGACGAGAUCCCCUU
rnacentral:rRNA from 1 species